GUCUUUGAAGUAGAAAUUAUAUAAGAUUUUCGAUCUUAAGAUGCGGAAGCCUUAGAUA
rnacentral:tRNA from 2 species